GUUUGUGGUACAGGAAAAGGGUUACGAUCUCAGUGGUUGAUUCAGUGAAAUAACAUCUCUUUUAUACACAUCUGCCUAGCAAGUAGGGCGGUAGUUGGAAAUACCCAAUCUAAAGCAUUAAAGAUUUGCUGGCAAAUAGCAAGGCAUUUUCUGCAAAGGAAAAGUUGUUAUACUGAGUAGUCACUUUGAAUGCUUAGGAGUUACAGUCAAAUAUCCAAACACGGUGGAGUUACACUGCAUUUAUUAUUUUGUCAAGUAUUUAACACACUGGGAAUUGACUCCGCUGCACAUUUCAUAACCAAGAAGGCAUGGUAACAGUGGACUUUUAAGAAGAGACUUGGCAAUGGGCCCCUUAUGUCAGCCUACAGUUCAAGGAAUCAUAAAUCAAAAGGAAUGCAAAGUCAGAUGAAAAAGGAACAGCAUGUGACUGGAAACGUGGAGAGAAGAGGCCUAUGAAGAGGAACAGCCUUCUGCAGGAGUCAGGUUUGUCUGCCUUGCUGUUGUAAGUUCCUCCUUUUGAAUUUUUAUUUUAGGAUUA